UUUUGAAACUACAAAUAUAUUACUUUAAUAAAAACAUUUUUACAGUUUAAAUUACAAAUUGCACAGAAUGAAUAUAAAAUAGUAUCACAUUGUCUGUAGUACAGAAAAACUUGAAGAUAUUUUCUACAGUGAUCAUUGACCAUUUUAACUGAUACAGGCUUCAUAAUAGACCACUUUCGAGUUUGUCCUUCACCAGAAAAAACUCGUCAAUUAUGUGCGCCUUUAUGGCAUCAUUUACCAGAUAGAGGGGAUUGCCUGUAUCCAUGCACUAUUUACAUUUAUCAAGUGUCUUAUUGAACGUCAUUGUGCAUGAUAAACUAGAAAUAAUAUUUGUUCGGUAGGUACUUAAUCACAAUUCCCUAAUGACAUCAGAUUUGAUUGUCAAUUAUUAGAAUUCUAUUGGCCAAAUAAUUCGUGCAAUAUAGCAUCCAAUUGCUCAACAUGGGAACGGAAGUGACGAUGCCCCUAAACGCAAGAAUGAUGUUCACUUAAACCAAAGUUUUUGACGGAAAUGCAUCGAACUAGAAAGUUGUCUAUUGACUAUAUGUAGACAUGAAAAAGGCAAUUUGGUCCUACCAUUACAAGUGUAUCUGGUGUCAAAAUAAUAUACAUUAACAAAUCGUUUUAUGAAGCUUCAUAAAUAAUACAAAAAACAUUAUUGAAAAGUAUGAACAAAAGAAAAUAAGAUAAUCUAAAAAGAUUCAUUCAUAAGAGUAAAAUUACAAGUAUAAAAACAUAAUAUAAACAAACUAUCACCAACACUUACAGCAGAUAGCAUUGAGUGUGUAGGAAAUAGUAAAAUCUUUGCUUAGCUUGUUUGUUAGCUGAACUUUGAAGUCAUUACUAAGUUAAGUAUACAACCAUCAUUUCGGAGUACUCUUGUCCUACAGACAGAAAGAUUGGUUAUCUAUUAGACUAGUCUACUCUUAAAGAAGGGUAGUUUACCUAACCUAAUAAUGACUUCAUGGAGCAGCUAGCAAGCAAGCUGACCAAAGAUAUUACCUCUACUUACACACUCAAUGCAUUCUGCUGUAUAACAAAUAAACAUACAUAUUCUGCUAAAAAAUCAAUGCAAAAGAUCUCAAGAUUAUUUUUAGAUAUACAGUAUUUUGGCAUGUAUUAUACACACUUUUUUUUAACUUUUAAGAUUGUUUCACUAAUAGUUACAAUAGAAUCUGUCUACAUCAAACAAACCAUACAUUUGUCAAUAAAAAAGUUUGUAUCAGGACAAAUACCAUGAACAUUCUGUGAUAUUUACACAAAAUUCCAAGUCCUCAUUAUGUUUGUUUAGACUUCAGCUCACUACCAGUCAUCUGUUAAUGCUUAAUGUCAAAAAGCCUAUUUAGCUAUAUAUAGCAAUUGACUGUUAACCUGAUAUUGGCUGGUUAGUUUUGGAUGAUGAACACAUGAAAAAAGUCAACAGAUAACUGAUGCUAAGUGAUAGUAGCAGCUUAUAUAUACACAAAGGCUCUUGAUCAGGUUAGCUUAAAAUUACACAAUUAGACUUGCUGUUGCCUUUAUUUAUCUGCUUCUAGGGCAUGCCUAUAUAAUGUACUUUUUUUUUAAAUGUUAUCUAUCAGAGGAAAGGUAGAAUAUAAACUAAUGGAACAAAAUGUACAUACAUUCUAAUAAAAUAUGACAAUGACACAAAAUGUACAUAUAUUCUACAAAAUAAAUUUUAAUUGGUACUUGUUAAUAAAUAUUAUUGUUAAAAUAAGACAAUCAAUAAAAUUAACUGUGACCAUGACACUAAUUCUAUUUUUUAUAUUCCCAACAAAGAGUAGGUCUAGUACUUAGUGGACUUUAGUAAAUUGUAAUAAAAACCCUGUUAUGACUAGAUGUUACUUAAGUUAUGUUUUGAGUUUCUAAUCAUUACAUUUUUACUCAAUCUCAUGUAAGUAUACUUAAUAUCUGGUCAGCAGAAUUUGAACAUUAUCAUGUGUUUUUUAAAUGUAAGUCAGAUAUUGAAGUCCACAUUGCUCAGAUGAACCAACUUGCUUUGGUAACUUUUAACUAAGAGUCACCUGCUUUCAACAUGAACAAUUAGGUUUCAAUAUCAGAUAUCAUUUUCAGUAGCUUUUCAUAAUAUCAAAAAAGUAUUGUCCACACAUGUUAAAACUAGUUAAUUAUUAUAUUAUUUGCAUGAAAACAAUCAGUUCAUUUCAAAUUUUACAUAAUAUGUCUGUUUUUUCUAGUGCUACACACGACUUUUUAAACUUAAAUUAAUGCCA
rnacentral:lncRNA from 1 species